AGAGUUUGAUCCUGGCUCAGGAUGAACGCUGGCGGCGUGCUUAACACAUGCAAGUCGAACGGAGUUUAUACGGAAGGAGUCUUCGGGCAACGGAAGUAUAAACUUAGUGGCGGACGGGUGAGUAACGCGUGGGUAACCUGCCUUAUACAAGGGGAUAACAGAGGGAAACUUCUGCUAAUACCGUAUAAAAAUAUUUCACGCAUGUGAGAUAUUUGAAAGAUUUAUCAGUAUGAGAUGGACCCGCGUCUGAUUAGGUAGUUGGUGAGGUAGAGGCUCACCAAGCCGACGAUCGGUAGCCGAUCUGAGAGGAUGACCGGCCACAUUGGGACUGAGACACGGCCCAAACUCCUACGGGAGGCAGCAGUGGGGAAUAUUGGACAAUGGGGGCAACCCUGAUCCAGCGACGCCGCGUGAGUGAAGAAGUAUUUCGGUAUGUAAAGCUCUAUCAGCAGGGAAGAAAAUGACGGUACCUGACUAAGAAGCCCCGGCUAACUACGUGCCAGCAGCCGCGGUAAUACGUAGGGGGCAAGCGUUAUCCGGAUUUACUGGGUGUAAAGGGAGCGUAGACGGCAAAUAAAGUCUGAAGUGAAAUCCCGCAGCUCAACUGCGGAGUUGCUUUGGAAACUUAUAAGCUGGAGUGUCGGAGGGGUAAGCGGAAUUCCCAGUGUAGCGGUGAAAUGCGUAGAUAUUGGGAGGAACACCGGAGGCGAAGGCGGCUUACUGGAAGAUAACUGACGUUGAGGCUCGAAGGCGUGGGUAGCAAACAGGAUUAGAUACCCUGGUAGUCCACGCAGUAAACGAUGAAUACUAGGUGUCGGGAGGGAAUAACCUUUUCGGUGCCGUCGCAAACGCAAUAAGUAUUCCACCUGGGGAGUACGUUCGCAAGAAUGAAACUCAAAGGAAUUGACGGGGACCCGCACAAGCGGUGGAGCAUGUGGUUUAA
rnacentral:rRNA from 1 species